UACGUAGGCAGCGAGCGUUGUUCGGAAUUACUGGGCGUAAAGAGUGUGUAGGCGGUGCUCUAAGUUCGGUGUGAAAUCUCCUGCUUAACUGGGAGGGUGCGCCGAAAACUGGAGUGCUCGAGCGUGGGGAGAGGAAAGCGGAAUUCCUGGUGUAGCGGUGAAAUGCGUAGAUAUCAGGGAGGGAACACCUGCGGUGUAGACGGCUUUCUGGACCAUUGCUGACGCUUGAGACACGAAAGCGUGGGUAGCAAACAGG
rnacentral:rRNA from 1 species